rnacentral:rRNA from 1 species
CCUACGGGCGGCAGCAGUGAGGAAUAUUGGUCAAUGGACGAGAGUCUGAACCAGCCAAGUAGCGUGAAGGAUGACUGCCCUAUGGGUUGUAAACUUCUUUUAUAUGGGAAUAAAAUGUUCCACGUGUGGGAUUUUGUAUGUACCAUAUGAAUAAGGAUCGGCUAACUCCGUGCCAGCAGCCGCGGUAAUACGGAGGAUCCGAGCGUUAUCCGGAUUUAUUGGGUUUAAAGGGAGCGUAGGUGGAUUGUUAAGUCAGUUGUGAAAGUUUGCGGCUCAACCGUAAAAUUGCAGUUGAAACUGGCAGUCUUGAGUACAGUAGAGGUGGGCGGAAUUCGUGGUGUAGCGGUGAAAUGCUUAGAUAUCACGAAGAACUCCGAUUGCGAAGGCAGUUCACUGGACUGCAACUGACACUGAGGCUCGAAAGUGUGGGUAUCAAACGGGAUUAGAUACCCCUGUAGUC